rnacentral:rRNA from 1 species
CAGUAGCCGCGGUAAUACAGAGGAUGCAAGCGUUAUCCGGAAUGAUUGGGCGUAAAGCGUGCGCAGGCGGUCCGCUAAGACAGAUGUGAAAUCCCCGGGCUUAACCUGGGAACUGCAUUUGUGACUGGCGGGCUAGAGUAUGGCAGAGGGGGGUAGAAUUCCACGUGUAGCAGUGAAAUGCGUAGAGAUGUGGAGGAAUACCGAUGGCGAAGGCAGCCCCCUGGGCCAAUACUGACGCUCAUGCACGAAAGCGUGGGGAGCAAACAGGAUUAGAUACCCCCGUAGUCCCUGUCUCUUAUAC